rnacentral:rRNA from 2 species
GACGAACGCUGGCGGCGUGCCUAAUACAUGCAAGUCGAACGAACUCUGGUAUUGAUUGGUGCUUGCAUCAUGAUUUACAUUUGAGUGAGUGGCGAACUGGUGAGUAACACGUGGGAAACCUGCCCAGAAGCGGGGGAUAACACCUGGAAACAGAUGCUAAUACCGCAUAACAACUUGGACCGCAUGGUCCGAGUUUGAAAGAUGGCUUCGGCUAUCACUUUUGGAUGGUCCCGCGGCGUAUUAGCUAGAUGGUGAGGUAACGGCUCACCAUGGCAAUGAUACGUAGCCGACCUGAGAGGGUAAUCGGCCACAUUGGGACUGAGACACGGCCCAAACUCCUACGGGAGGCAGCAGUAGGGAAUCUUCCACAAUGGACGAAAGUCUGAUGGAGCAACGCCGCGUGAGUGAAGAAGGGUUUCGGCUCGUAAAACUCUGUUGUUAAAGAAGAACAUAUCUGAGAGUAACUGUUCAGGUAUUGACGGUAUUUAACCAGAAAGCCACGGCUAACUACGUGCCAGCAGCCGCGGUAAUACGUAGGUGGCAAGCGUUGUCCGGAUUUAUUGGGCGUAAAGCGAGCGCAGGCGGUUUUUUAAGUCUGAUGUGAAAGCCUUCGGCUCAACCGAAGAAGUGCAUCGGAAACUGGGAAACUUGAGUGCAGAAGAGGACAGUGGAACUCCAUGUGUAGCGGUGAAUGCGUAGAUAUAUGGAAGAACACCAGUGGCGAAAGCGGCUGUCUGGUCUGUAACUGACGCUGAGGCUCGAAAGUAUGGGUAGCAAACAGGAUUAGAUACCCUGGUAGUCCAUACCGUAAACGAUGAAUGCUAAGUGUUGGAGGGUUUCCGCCCUUCAGUGCUGCAGCUAACGCAUUAAGCAUUCCGCCUGGGGAGUACGGCCGCAAGGCUGAAACUCAAAGGAAUUGACGGGGGCCCGCACAAGCGGUGGAGCAUGUGGUUUAAUUCGAAGCUACGCGAAGAACCUUACCAGGUCUUGACAUACUAUGCAAAUCUAAGAGAUUAGACGUUCCCUUCGGGGACAUGGAUACAGGUGGUGCAUGGUUGUCGUCAGCUCGUGUCGUGAGAUGUUGGGUUAAGUCCCGCAACGAGCGCAACCCUUAUUAUCAGUUGCCAGCAUUAAGUUGGGCACUCUGGUGAGACUGCCGGUGACAAACCGGAGGAAGGUGGGGAUGACGUCAAAUCAUCAUGCCCCUUAUGACCUGGGCUACACACGUGCUACAAUGGAUGGUACAACGAGUUGCGAACUCGCGAGAGUAAGCUAAUCUCUUAAAGCCAUUCUCAGUUCGGAUUGUAGGCUGCAACUCGCCUACAUGAAGUCGGAAUCGCUAGUAAUCGCGGAUCAGCAUGCCGCGGUGAAUACGUUCCCGGGCCUUGUACACACCGCCCGUCACACCAUGAGAGUUUGUAACACCCAAAGUCGGUGGGGUAACCUUUUAGGAACCAGCCGCCUAAGGUGGGACAGAUGAUUAGGGUG